rnacentral:rRNA from 1 species
UGAUAGAUUCUUCUGCAGUGACGCCUUUGGAAGCCUUUGUGGCCCCGCAAGGGGUAUUCACGGCGACUAUAAACAAGAAUGUGAGUAUUAAAUCGCAAGUCGGCCACCAGCGGCCGGCGACACUUUCGAAUUGCGGGGAAUCCCUAAAGCCCAUCUCUACCAACCUGGCGCGGAAACGCGCGGGGGGCCGGUGCUAAUCACACCGGGGCGGUAACAAUGAGAUGGGAUAGACAGCAUGGGCAAUCCGCAGCCAAGUCCCUAAGGCGAGAGCUAUGGGAAAGGUUCACAGACUAAGUGGAAGUGGGUUGGGGCCGGUGUGCCCCAGCUUAAGAUAUAGUCGGGCUUGAUGAGAAAUCGUCGGGGAGUCACUGGACUAAACAUAAACUGUUCCGUAGGUGAACCUGCGGAAGGAUCAUUAAUAAGAAAAGGCUUUGCGCCGGGCCCGUCCCGGACAGAGUUCAACCCUUUGUGAAAAACAACCUUCUUUUCGCUUCGGCAGCUCGCGCUCGCGCGGUCAGCCUGCCGGCAGCACCAAAAAUAUCAACCUGUCUCUGUAGAUAAUGUCUGACCAUUCUGAAUUGAAUGAAAAUCAAAACUUUCAACAACGGAUCUCUUGGUUCCCGCAUCGAUGAAGAACGCAGCGAAACGCGAUAGUUAAUGUGAAUUGCAGAAUUCAGUGAAUCAUCGAGUCUUUGAACGCACAUUGCGCCCGUCGGCAUUCCGACGGGCACGUCUGUCUGAGCGUCAUGUCAAAUCUCUGCUGGCCUGGGUUUGCGCCCGGUCAACCGGUACUGAGCUGCGGUCUCCCAACCGGAACCGCGCUUUAAAGUGGCACGCUCUGCGGGUCUGACCGCUUCGAGAACAUAGUAUAAUGCUAUCUGUUCCAGGAGCCGGCUCAGGCAACCGCCUGAACAAAUCUUCUAUUAGGUUUGACCUCAGAUCAGACGAGGAUACCCGCUGAACUUAAGCAUAUCAAUAAGCGGAGGAAAAGAAACCAACAGGGAUUGCCUCAGUAACGGCGAGUGAAGCGGCAAGAGCUCAAAUUUGAAAUCUGGCGCAAGCCCGAGUUGUAAUUUGAAGAGGAUGUCACGGUUGGGGUCGCUGCCGAAGUUCCUUGGAACAGGACGUCUUAGAGGGUGAGAAUCCCGUCCGGCUGCCGGCCUGCACCAUGUGUGACUCCUUCGAAGAGUCGAGUUGUUUGGGAAUGCAGCUCAAAAUGGGUGGUAAAUUUCAUCUAAAGCUAAAUAUUGGCGGGAGACCGAUAGCGCACAAGUAGAGUGAUCGAAAGAUGAAAAGCACUUUGAAAAGAGAGUUAAACAGUACGUGAAAUUGUUGAAAGGGAAGCGCUUGCGAUCAGACUCGCCUGCAGUUGAUCAACGUUCGUUCUCGUUCGUGCACUCUGCUGCUGGCGGGCCAGCAUCGGCCGGGACGGCGGGACAAAGGCGUCGGGAAUGUGGCUCCUCGGAGUGUUAUAGCCCGGCGUGCAAUGCCGCCAGACCCGGUCGAGGUCCGCGCUUCGGCUAGGAUGCUGGCUUAAUGGUCGUAAGCGACCCGUCUUGAAACACGGACCAAGGAGUCUAACAUCUAUGCGAGUCUUUGGGUGUCAAACCCAUGGGCGCAAUGAAAGUGAACGGAGGUGGGAGCCUUAACCGGUGCACCAUCGACCGAUCCUGAUGUUCUCGGAUGGAUUUGAGUAUGAGCAUAGCUGUUGGGACCCGAAAGAUGGUGAACUAWGCCUGAAUAGGGUGAAGCCAGAGGAAACUCUGGUGGAGGCUCGCAGCGGUUCUGACGUGCAAAUCGAUCGUCAAAUUUGGGUAUAGGGGCGAAAGACUAAUCG